rnacentral:rRNA from 1 species
AACAGGAUUAGAUACCCUGGUAGUCCACGCCGUAAACGAUGUCGACUUGGAGGUUGUUCCCUUGAGGAGUGGCUUCCGGAGCUAACGCGUUAAGUCGACCGCCUGGGGAGUACGGCCGCAAGGUUAAAACUCAAAUGAAUUGACGGGGGCCCGCACAAGCGGUGGAGCAUGUGGUUUAAUUCGAUGCAACGCGAAGAACCUUACCUACUCUUGACAUCCACGGAAUUCGGCAGAGAUGCCUUAGUGCCUUCGGGAACCGUGAGACAGGUGCUGCAUGGCUGUCGUCAGCUCGUGUUGUGAAAUGUUGGGUUAAGUCCCGCAACGAGCGCAACCCUUAUCCUUUGUUGCCAGCGAUUCGGUCGGGAACUCAAAGGAGACUGCCGGUGAUAAACCGGAGGAAGGUGGGGAUGACGUCAAGUCAUCAUGGCCCUUACGAGUAGGGCUACACACGUGCUACAAUGGCGCAUACAAAGAGAAGCGACCUCGCGAGAGCAAGCGGACCUCACAAAGUGCGUCGUAGUCCGGAUCGGAGUCCGCAACUCGACUCCGUGAAGUCGGAAUCGCUAGUAAUCGUGGAUCAGAAUGCCACGGUGAAUACGUUCCCGGGCCUUGUACACACCGCCCGUCACACCAUGGGAGUGGGUUGCAAAAGAAGUAGGUAGCUUAACCUUCGGGAGGGCGCUUACCACUUUGUGAUUCAUGACUGGGGUGAAGUCGUAACAAGGUAACC